AUUCUCCUUAUCUACCACCAUGUAAGACAUGCCUUUCGCCUUCCACCGUGAUUAUGAGGCCUCCCCAGCCACGUGGAACUGUGAGUCCAUUACACCUCUUUUUCUCUAUAAAUUACCCAGUCUUGGGUAUGUCUUUAUCAGCAGUGUGAAGAUAGACUAAUACAUUCUCCAAGUCAGAGUUUAUUGCCCCCUCAUCUAUUUUCCCAUUACUUAAUUGAAAUAAUAUCAACAUCUAUCUUUCUUUUUUUUUUUAUUUUGAGACGGAGUUUCUUUCUUUCUUUUCUUUUCUUUUUUUUUUUUUUUCCACUCUUGUCGCCCAGGUUGGAGUGCAGUGCCAUGAUCUCGGCUCACUGCAACCUUCGCCUCCUGGGUUCAAGUGAUUCUCCUGCCUCAGCCUUCCAAGUAGCUGGGAUUAUAGGCACAUGCCACCAUGCCCAGCUAAUUUUGUAUUUUUAGUAGAGACAGAGUUUCUCCAUGUUGGUCAGGCUGUUCUCCAACUCCUGACCUCAGGUGAUCCACCCGCCUCGGCUUCCCAAAGUGCUGGGAUUACAGGCAUAAGCCACCGCGCCUGGCCCACCAUCUAUCUUUCUAUGUUUGUUUAAGCUUUUUGAGCAGACAGAACUUUUCAUAAUCAUUUCUGUAAUUAUGCUACCCUUAGUAAUUCAAUACAAGUUGAAAUUAACUUCCAAAUAUCUUACCUCUUAGAUUAGAAAUCUAUCAAUAGGACAUUUAUAUUGAAUAACCUUGUAUUUAAAUCAUAUUAUGUCACUAAUGUUUUUACUUAGAGACUAUGAAUUGUAAGCACCAUUUUAAAGACAGGAAAAUAAAAUACAAAGGAGAUAUUUGGUGGAGAUCAGCCAAUGAAAUUGUGAAAGAUUUUAGAGAAGAAUUUGGUAUUCCUCAUCUUUAGUGCUAUUUUUGAGACAGGCUAAGAUAGAAGUACUAGCCAAAUGUAACUAAGUUUAAAUUCACUAAAAUUAGAGAAAAACGUAAAAUUCAGUUAUUUAUUCACAUCAGAAACAUUUUAAGCACUCAAUAGCCACAUAUGGCUAGUGACUACUGUAUUGAAUAAUGUUGGUGUAAACAUUUUCAUCAUCACAUAAAGUUUUUUCAACAACAUUGUUCUAUUUCCCUUUUUUUCCUUUGUAGCAUACACUUAAUAAUUCAUUACCUAUUAAGGUAAGAUUCUACUCCUUUUUUGGUGUUUUGUUCUUUCUUUAUUUUUAUUUGCUCCUGCAUUGUGAAAUCCGGUGUUUGGUGUGUGUCAGAAUGAAUAACUAUAUGAUUUUCCAAAUACCUCUUAUAAACUAACUGCCAUUCUUCCAUGUCUUUGGAAUUUCUUUCAAUCCAGCUUCUUCUCAGCUGAGGUCAUGCAAAAAUGACUCACUUGCAUAUGAUACUUUCCUUGAGGAAUUAAACCAUAAACUGUAUCCUUUUGUGCAAAUCCCUUACACAUCUCAGUCAUGAAUCUGUAUGGCUCUCACUUCAUUUAUUCUGGCUUAGUUAUCAGCAUAAGCCUGUAAAAGUCAAAUUUUGCUAACAAAUGGAAGUAAUAGCAAAGAAAGCUAAGGACAAUUUAUUUCCCUUAGGAGAUGGGAAGCAGAGGUACAAACAACUUUUGUUCCACCACCCUUUUCACUUAAAACACACACACACACGCACACACACAUGCACGCACACACACACACAUACACUAUCUUACUACUUGAAAAUGAGGGCAUUAGAGUCUAGAUAAAAGGGACAGAGGGACAGAGUACACUAAUGUGAAGAUCUCUUGUCAGUUGUACAUUCUGAAUAAACAUUUCAUCUUACCUUAAUGCAUAGGAAACUCGAACUUGUUUUCAGAACAAUGAAGUCAUUACUCCUAACUCAGUAUUACUUCUAAAUUCUGGGCCUAGUUCAAAUAUUAUUGUAUAUAUUUUAUUUAUUUGCAAAGUCAUCUACUUGCAUGUAAAGCUGACAAGACUGUAAGUAAUUAAGCCAGGUGUGUCCCCUCAUCUUUUUAUCCCCAGCAUAUAUUAGGAAUGAGCUGAUACAGCCCAUUCCUCAAAUCCUGAGUAGUCCGGCCUUCCAUAUCCCUGGCCAUAUUCCUCAUUCACCAUUACCAGCCCUCCUUGCAUUGUGUAUUGAGGGAGAAGAUUCCUAGAAGCAACAUUCAUCGUCUCUCUUUUCAAUGAUGGACAACUCUCUGCUGUGCCAAAUAUACUAACUUUAACCACCCACUGCCAAACUCACACCUCCUUGUUCAACAAGCCAGUUACGGGCAGUGAAUGAAUCUACGAUGCUGAACAGCCCCGUGGGCAUCUUCUCACUGGGCACUGGCUAGAAUGCAGUUGGAUUAGACUUUCACAAUUGCUUUGUUUUCAAGCCAGGAAGGAGAAAUUGAAGGCAAUUCACCACCUUUCUAUAUCCAAGAUGAAAACACAGCACUCUCCUAAACUUCAGAAGUAUAACUCAGUGGGUUAGUACUUCAGAUCUAGCCUGAGGCAAAAUUAUGAUUUUUCCAAAAGAUUUUCUUUUUUUAGCAUUCUUUUCCUUACACGCAGGCCUUUGAUCAAGCUACAGUUUUGAACUGAUUACAGCUUUUGAAGCCUCAGAAGAUUUAAAGACCCACAUUGUUAACAAUGGUGUUUUAGGUGUGUGGCGUAUUAGAGGAGUCGGGUUAAGAGUAUGAACCUUACCAACAGGUAAAAAUGUGUCAUAUUAAUUUUUUCAACAUCAACAAACACGUCAAAAGAUGGAGCACUGAAAGCUGCAUUUUAAACAAAUGCCCCAGCGAAGGUCUGCAGCUUCACUCCUGAAGCCAGCGAGACCACGAACCCACCGGGAGAAACGAACAACUCCAGACGCAUCACUUUAAGAACUGUGACGCUCACCGCGAAGGUUUGCAACUUCACUCCUGAGCCACCGAGACUACGAACCCACCGGAAGGAAGAAACUCCGAACACAUCCGAACAUCAGAAGGAACAAACUCCAGACACGCCGCCUUUAAGAACUGUAACACUCACCGCGAGGGUCCGCGGUUUAUUCUUGAGGUCAGUGAGACCAAGAACCCACCAAUUCUGGACACACCACCUUGCCCUUCUACUUUUCACAGGUACUAAGGUCUCAAACUCAUAAGUUUUUCCAGGGUUUUCUGCAUUGAACAACUUUUUGUUUGUUUGGUGGUGGUAGUGAGGAAUAGACCUUCCCCCUUUGAAAGCUUCCCUUGUUUCCUUUAGUCUGAUAAAUCAGUUACCACUUAAAUAUCUGCUUCCUAGCUUCUGAACUCAUGCUGAUAAUGCCCAUCUGCUGUCUUUACAUGCCUGGUGUCUCUGAUGGCCAUUUUUCUUAGGGGCUUGUUCAGUGCAAAUAAAUGACUCUCUAUGGAAAAAAAGAAAAAGGGAAAACUGAUUUAUAGCAUUUGCCAAUUUCUAGUGGUGUAGAUGCUCUUACUAUAUGACUGUCUUCAAGCUACCAAUAAUUUAACAGGCUUGCAAGAGUCCUGAAUACUUAUCAGUUAUAUCUCAGUAGCAGGUAAGUGCUAUCUCCAGCCCAGCACUGUUUAUGCCUUUGUUAGUUUUACUGUCUCUUUAGUAAGGCUUUUGGAGAGGGUUGAGAUAAAAGUAUAUCUCUCCAUAUUUAACUGGAAGUCUCAAUUUCUUGCCUAUUUGUGUAGACAUAAGCUGACUUGGAAAAUUAGCUACUUGAGUGGAGUAAAUUUUAAAAAUGGAAAUUAUAUGGAAUAUAUGUGUAGGGCUUUGCCUCAAACAAUGACAAAUUUGUUUUUUCUAUAGCCCCGGCUAUUCAGGGGACUGAGGCAGGAAGAUCCCUUGAGCUCUGGAGUCCAGCAGGGGCAACAUAGCGAGCCUUAAGGAAAAACAAAACAAAAAACAAUGUUUCUUCUUCAUUCAACGUCAUUGUCCUAACUUUCUUUAAGUUAAUAAGGCCUCUUCCUGCUCAUUCUUUCCCUAACAUUCAUAAACACAUAUAAAGUGACUAAGGGAUUUAAAAGAAACAAAACAAAGUUCACUUCCUUAAACGAAACGAGUUUACUUAGGAAGAUGUGCUUUAAAACACUGAGAGGGGCCGGGCAUGGUGGCUUGUGCCUGUAAUCCCAGCUGACACGGGUGGAUCACGCGGUCAGGAGAUCGAGACCAUCCUGACUAACACGGUGAAACCCCGUCUCUACUAAAAACUGCAAAAAAUUAGCCGGGCGUGGUGGCAGGCGCCUGCAGUCCCAGCUACUCGGGAGGUUGAGGCAGGGGAAUGGCGUGAACCCGGGAGGCGGAGCUUGCGGUGAGCCGAGAUGGCGCCACUGCACUCCAGCCUGGGCGACAGAGUGAGACUCCGUCUCAAAAAAACAAACAAACAAACAAAAAACACUGAGAGGGUAUUUAGGGCUUUAAUGUACUAACACCAACUCAUAAGCAUCAUCAGUCAUUUAUAUCUUGGAGGUGUGGAACAAGUAAACUGAGGUAAUGAAAUAAUAUUUGCCUUCACAUUAGUCACUGCUCAGUCACUUAGAGAUGUAAAUUGCAGAAGAUAUACAACUUGUAAAAAUUAUCUCAUUCUUUCUAAUUGGAUUGUGAAAUAUCUAACACCAGCUCCAUUUUUAAGAAAUGUUAAUGCAAACCUGAGAGACUGCAAAUACUGCCAGUGUUGCCUUCUAUAGAAACGGGAUUUGGCUGGAUGAUAUCCCUGGACUAAUCAUCUACAAUGUGGAAAUACUAAGAAUCAUGGCACAGAGGUUAAUACACUUAGGCAAACAACAUAGUGAGUAAAUUAAACUCGCAUUUCUUUUAACGAGAUAAAGUUUGUCACAUACCCACAGAAUUCAUGAGGAAGUUCUGAAAGGAUCAUACACUCCCAAAAUUUGCAGUGAAAACGAUCUUAGAUAAUGUCUUUUUCAUAGCACUCAAUUAUAUGUAAGGAAACUGAGGCCCAAAGUGGUGAAGCCAGUGAGAGAGUGGACUAAAGAAAGACUCAUUGUAUCUACCUCGCACUUGCGAAUUUCCUAUCUAAAGAUUUCUGUUAGCCCCCAAACAUCCCCCAGGAUCAGGAGAAAAUAAAACCAGGAUAUUUACAUUUCCCAUACUUCUCAUAUGGAAGAAAUGCUUUUGGUUCCAAGUACUGUUGUCCACUGAAAUAUCAGCAUACAUGUUUGGAAAGUUUUACUUGUGUGAAAUAAUUAAAAUCCAU
rnacentral:lncRNA from 1 species